CUUUCAGCAGACCAAUUUCUCUCUCAGAUUGGAGAAAAUAUUUCAAAGAAGAAAAGUCCAUCCCAUCAAAUUAACUACAAAUACAUGGCGUUAGUAUCAUAUCACCAAACCGAUCUCUUGAUCCAAGCCUCUUCUCGCCAUACCUUGGAUACCGAUCUUCUUUAUAACUAUUGCUCUAUUUGCUGGGGGAAACACACAACCGAUCUCCUGAUCCAACCCGAUGCUCGGCAUAUCUUGGAGCCCAAUCUGUUUUCCAACUCUCGCCCUGUUUGCUGCAGGAAACACACAUGCCCUCUCUUCGUGUUGCCGCCGCACAGUUGGGGCCCGAUCAAUCCAUGUUUAUGGGAAAUCUGCUAUUUAUUUAACAAGCCAAGCAAAGUUCAGGACAAUGUCCGCAACAACCUUGAGUUAAUUCAAGGUGAACAAUCAAGGACCGACAAACCAGUAGGUACAUGCUCAUAAUUGCUUUACUGAAAUAGGAGUGGAUGUUCCAGAUUAUAAUUUGUUCAGUGUAGUUGAUGGUGUAAUCUCUUAUAAGUUAAGAUGUUCUACAGUGGUUGCAACCGGUCGAUUGAGGAAAUAGGUGCCACUUAAGUUUUCUGUAAGUUUGUAUUUUGUAGUAAAGGUUUUCAUCAUUGUAGAAACUUCUACAUUUUAUGUACUUUAUUAUUUUUAUAAUUAUAACUCGAAUAGCUAAAAAAAUAAUGUAAGUGAAAAAAUUGGAUGAAAAGCACAUAUACUACAGUGUGUUUGUGAUGUCAUGACGUACCACAUUUCAGCGAUUCCACUUGGAUAAUACAUAAUGAGUAUGAACCUAGAAACUAUGUGUUUGUGACCUUAAGAAAA